UGGGUUAGUGGCGGACGGGUGAGUAACGCGUGGGUAACCUGCCUUACACAGGGGGAUAACACUUAGAAAUAGGUGCUAAAACCGCAUAAGCGCACAGCUUCGCAUGAAGCGGUGUGAAAAACUCCGGUGGUGUAAGAUGGACCCGCGUCUGAUUAGCUUGUUGGCGGGGUAACGGCCCACCAAGGCGACGAUCAGUAGCCGGCCUGAGAGGGUGGACGGCCACAUUGGGACUGAGACACGGCCCAAACUCCUACGGGAGGCAGCAG
rnacentral:rRNA from 1 species